UACGUAGGGUGCAAGCGUUGUCCGGAAUUAUUGGGCGUAAAGAGCUCGUAGGCGGUUUGUCGCGUCUGCUGUGAAAACUCGGGGCCUAACCCCGGGCCUGCAGUGGGUACGGGCAGACUAGAGUGCGGUAGGGGAGACUGGAAUUCCUGGUGUAGCGGUGAAAUGCGCAGAUAUCAGGAGGAACACCGGUGGCGAAGGCGGGUCUCUGGGCCGUAACUGACGCUGAGGAGCGAAAGCGUGGGGAGCGAACAGG
rnacentral:rRNA from 1 species